rnacentral:rRNA from 1 species
UACGAAGGGUGCAAGCGUUACUCGGAAUUACUGGGCGUAAAGCGUGCGUAGGCGGUUUGUUAAGUCUGUCGUGAAAGCCCCGGGCUCAACCUGGGAAUGGCGAUGGAUACUGGCGAGCUAGAGUACGGUAGAGGAGAGUGGAAUUCCCGGUGUAGCAGUGAAAUGCGUUGAUAUCGAUAGGAACUCCGGUGGCGAAGGCGGCAUACUGGACCACCACUGACGCUGAUGCGCGAAAGCCAGGGGAGCAAACGGG